rnacentral:rRNA from 1 species
GAUGAACGCUGGCGGCGUGCCUAAUACAUGCAAGUCGAGCGAACGGACGAGAAGCUUGCUUCUCUGAUGUUAGCGGCGGACAGGUGAGUAACACGUGGAUAACCUACCUUUAAGACUGGGAUAACUUCGGGAAACCGGAGCUAAUACCGGAUAAUAUUUUGAACCGCAUGGUUCAAAAGUGAAAGACGGUCUUGCUGUCACUUAUAGAUGGAUCCGCGCUGCAUUAGCUAGUUGGUAAGGUAACGGCUUACCAAGGCAACGAUGCAUAGCCGACCUGAGAGGGUGAUCGGCCACACUGGAACUGAGACACGGUCCAGACUCCUACGGGAGGCAGCAGUAGGGAAUCUUCCGCAAUGGGCGAAAGCCUGACGGAGCAACGCCGCGUGAGUGAUGAAGGUCUUCGGAUCGUAAAACUCUGUUAUUAGGGAAGAACAUAUGUGUAAGUAACUGUGCACAUCUUGACGGUACCUAAUCAGAAAGCCACGGCUAACUACGUG